GCCUCCGCUCCCGGGCUAUGUUGCUGACCCAACCUGAAAUCCCGCUUUAAGUUGAGUCAGCAACAUAUCCCAUGACUUUUGGGU
rnacentral:miRNA from 1 species